rnacentral:piRNA from 1 species
AGGUGGGGUGGGGUCUCUGAGCCU